GCGAAAACUUUACAAUGCUGGCAACAGCGAUAAGGGAACCUCGAGUGCCAGGUUACAAAUCUGGUUGUCGAGAUGCCUAAAAAGCAUUUCAUAGCAAGGGCCGGGCAAGACCGGUGCCAGCCGCCGCGGUAACACCGGCGGCUCGAGUGGUAACCGUUAUUAUUGGGUCUAAAGGGUCUGUAGCCGGCCGGAUAAGUCUCUUGAGAAAUCUGGCAGCUUAACUGUCAGGCUUUCAGGAGAUACUGUCUGGCUCGAGGCCGGGAGAGGUGAGAGGUACUUCAGGGGUAGGGGUGAAAUCUUGUAAUCCUUGAAGGACCACCAGUGGCGAAGGCGUCUCACCAGAACGAACCUGACGGCAAGGGACGAAAGCUAGGGGCACGAACC
rnacentral:rRNA from 1 species